AUUGAACGCUGGCGGCAUGCCUUACACAUGCAAGUCGAACGGUAACAGGUCUUCGGGUGCUGACGAGUGGCGAACGGGUGAGUAAUACAUCGGAAUGUGCCUAGUAGUGGGGGAUAACUACUCGAAAGAGUGGCUAAUACCGCAUGAGAUCUACGGAUGAAAGCAGGGGAUCGCAAGACCUUGUGCUACUAGAGCGGCCGAUGGCAGAUUAGGUAGUUGGUGGGAUAAAAGCUUACCGAGCCGACGAUCUGUAGCUGGUCUGAGAGGACGAUCAGCCACACUGGGACUGAGACACGGCCCAGACUCCUACGGGAGGCAGCAGUGGGGAAUUUUGGACAAUGGGCGAAAGCCUGAUCCAGCAAUGCCGCGUGCAGGAUGAAGGCCUUCGGGUUGUAAACUGCUUUUGUACGGAACGAAAAGCCCCGGGUUAAUACCCUGGGGUCAUGACGGUACCGUAAGAAUAAGCACCGGCUAACUACGUGCCAGCCGCCGCGGUAA
rnacentral:rRNA from 1 species